UUACGGGAGGCAGCAGCUAGGAAUUUUCCGCAAUGGGCGAAAGCCUGACGGAGCGACGCUGCGUUGAGGAUUGAAGGCCCUACGGGGUUGUAAACUCAUUUUGUGCAGGACGAGAGAGGACUGUACUGCAAGAAUAAGCCACGGCAAACUACGUGCCAGCAGCCGCGGUAAUACGUAGGUGGCGAGUGUUGUUCGGAAUCACUGGGCAUAAAGGGUGCGUAGGCGGGAAAUCAAGCAGGAUGUGAAAUCCUAUGGCCCAACCAUAGAAUUGCAUUCUGAACUGGUUUUCUUGAGUGCAGCAGGGGAGUGCGGAAUUCCCGGUGUAGGGGUGAAAUCUAUAGAUAUCGGGAAGAACACCGGUCGCGAAGGCGGCACUCUGGGCUGUAACUGACGCUGAGGCACGAAAGCGUGGGUAUCGAACCGGAUUAGAUACCCGGGUAAUCC
rnacentral:rRNA from 1 species